rnacentral:rRNA from 1 species
AUUGAACGCUGGCGGCAGGCCUAACACAUGCAAGUCGAACGAGUGGCGGACGGGUGAGUAAUGUCUGGGAAACUGCCCGAUGGAGGGGGAUAACUACUGGAAACGGUAGCUAAUACCGCAUACCAUCGGAUGUGCCCAGAUGGGAUUAGCUAGUAGGUGGGGUAACGGCUCACCUAGGCGACGAUCCCUAGCUGGUCUGAGAGGAUGACCAGGCAAACUGGAACGUAGACACGGUGCAGAGGUCUACGGGAGGCGGAAGUGGGGAAUAGGGCACAAGGGGCGCAAGCCUGAUGCAGCCAUGCCGCGUGUAGGAAGAAGGCCGUCGGGUUGGAAAGUACUUUCAGCGGGGAGGCGUUACCAGCAGAAGAAGCACCGGCGAACUCCGUGCCAGCAGCCGCGGUAAUUC